AUCAAGCUUUGCAAAUUCUCACUACUGGAAAAGGGCGAUUUACAGACGGCAUAUUACCGAAGGCUUGAAGCCCUCGGUAUUAAGGUGAUUACCGAAGGCUUUUAAGCCGUCGGUAACAUUCUCGCUAAUUUAAGUUCGAAAUUGAGGUUUUCGUUCCUAGUUUCAUCACUUUCCUCAACUUCACGCUUCGUCACUUUUCCCAAAUUUUCCAAUUUCCCUCCCCUUUGUUCUCUUCUCUGAAAGCUUCCCCCUUCCCUUCUCUAUUCUGCUGGUGCCCUCCAUUGUGCCCUCCAAUAUUGAGCGAUUUUGGGACAAGUGAGGGUUGGUUGGUCGGUUUGGGGAUUCUUUGGCUGGGAUUGAAGAUGGCAGUUUGGGGGUUCUACGCCUAGGUUUUCUGAGGUUGGUUUGGUGGUUCUACGGUUGGGUUGGUUGACGCCGAUUUGGGGGUUUUGCGGCUGGGUUCGUUGACGUAGGUUUCGAGGUUCGUGGGAGAUGUCCGGAACGCGGCGGCAACGAGAGUCUCACUGUCUAGCGAAGACUUGUAGAUCUGGAGUGAAUAACAUUGCGAUGGUGAUGGAGGUAGCGAGACGCGCUACAGCUAUUUUCGUGUUUCUGCUCUUGCAAAAUUGGUGGCGGGGGAAGAUGACGUAUCUGGAGCGACGGCAGCGAGGGACAUUCAAGGUGGAGGGGAGCACGAUGGUGAUCCGAGAUGCAUCGGCAAUGUCUGAAGCAUGACAGUAUCAACGACGGGUUCAAGAAAUGACCACCCAAGUGGCUCAAAUGGUGACUGUUAUCAAUCAGCUGACAAGGAAAAAUGAAGAGGAGAAAGGGGCAACAAACAAUGAAGCACCACUGAUGGUAGCUGUUGCCCCAUAAUUUCAAGAGAUUGAGUGUCCUACCACCUCUGUAUACUCUAAUCCUUCUUUCACUGAUUCAUAUUAUGCUUUAAAUUCUGAUAAUUCCAAUUCUCUGAUGAGUGAUGAUUAUAUGAGUGCAUCUAUUGAUAUUUCUGAAUGUGUAUGUGAACCUUAUGACCAUAAUUACACUGAUACUCAUUUUGAAAAGCUAGUUGAUGGUUUUAGGGAGUUGGCUAUGAUUCAUGAUUGUAAUAGCUUUGUUGUUGUCCCUAUAUCUGAAUUUACCACUGCUAAUGUUCAAUUGAGUGAAAAUGUGUAUUAUGAUGGUGAUAAUACUGAACCUCAUUCAGUACUGUGAAAUGCAUUUUGAUGCUGAUGUGUGUGAGCUUGAAAUUGAUUUCAAUGUGCUUGAUCAUAUGCAUGAUGUGCCUGUAGAAGUUGUUGAUUUUACUCCUUGCUUUGAUAAUUCUAAUAUCAUAAAUUCAGCAUUUUCCAUUGAUAGAGUUCAUAUACCAGCAUCUAGUGUUUUUGAUGAUUCCACAUAUUUAAAUGCACUUUUUGAUGAGGAAUUAGAUGCUCACGAUGAUAGACAUGCAGUUUUUGAUGAUGUGAAAGUUGAUUUGGCUGAUUUUGAAAAUGCUUGUACUGAUUUAGGAUUAGAACUUGAACUUGAGUUUGCUGGGUUCUUAAAUUCUUUAGAACUGAACAAUGAAAAACUCACUGCUUGUACAUGCCUUGGGGGUGGUUGUGAAAUUUGUGAAGAAAUCAUUUCUGCCAUAUGUUCUGCUUGUAUUUGGUUAUACAUGAUUUUGUUUUCUUUGCCAUUUUGCAGGUUUUGGUGGGUAUUAUUAUCUCUUGGAGCCACUCUGGUGGGUGGGAAUGAUCACAAAAUUAAAGGAAGCAAAGAAUGCUAAAAACACUAAGGCAAUUAUUUGGGAGGAGGAAAGUGCAGAAAGGCUUGGAAAUAUCUGUUUUGGUUUUUUUAAUAGGAAUUAGCUAGUUUUUAGUUUUGAUUGUUAAUACUUCUUAGAUUCUUUUACUUUCAUUGAUUCUGUUAGAACUUCUUUUAGGUUUCUUUCUUUUCCUGUUCCUAUUUUCUCUUCCUUCUUUUAGUUUCUUGUUCUGUUGUUGUUUUCUUAGUAGUUAUUUUAGAUUCUUUUCAUUUUCUAGGUUCUGUUUGAGCUUGUAAAUUAGGAUUUGCUGUUUUAAGAUUUCUUUUGUUAGAUUGUUAAGUUGAUGUAUGAUUGUAUCUUAGUGGACUGAUAUUGUUUGCAAAUCUCUUUUCUUAUAAUUUGCUUUUCAGGCUCAUACUGCAUUCCAUCUUGUUGAGCCAUGCUUUAGUGGCCUACUAGCUUCUCCAUAUGACCCACAACCUCAUGUUGAAUCUGACAACGCAAUUUGAUGUUGAUGGAAAUGAUACUCAGAAUGUGGGUGGGUUGGUUGAACGACUUCCUAGAAGCUCCCGUCAAAGGAAGCGAAAAGAUAUUAUUGAUGAUUCUAACUAUUCAAUUGAUACUAAUGUGAACAGUUUUGAUGAUCUGCUUCGUGAAAGAUCGAGUAUAAAGAAACCAAAUUAUAUUCUUGAUGAGUUAGAAGAAGAUUUAGAUAUCUUCACAGCAAACAUGGGAACCCUACAGAAAACAUCGUCAAAAUUGAAAGAAGUGACACUGGAAGAAGAGAUCCUAGAAAUGUAUACAAGUAUGUUAUCUCAAUGCAUAAAAAAUCGAGGGAUGCUGAUGCUAAUCAAAUGAACGAUGUCAUCUUUCACAGCAAAAACAUUACAGUGUCAUCAGUACUCUUGAAGAGUUAUACAACUUAAAAAAGUUAAGAAUAUGUAAAUCAUCGAGACAUCAGGAAGCAUGUUCAAGCUGCUCCUUUUUUAAUUGUUCGAGUGUCUAUUACUUUUAUGUAAUUUUUUACUAAAUUUUUCAUAUAUUUUUGUUUCAUUUUAAUAUGUAUGAAGAGAACAAAUUGUAUUAUUUGAGAGUAAAUGCAAAAGUAACUAAAUCAUGUUAAAUGUA